GAUGAACGCUAGCUACAGGCUUAACACAUGCAAGUCGAGGGACCGGCGCACGGGUGAGUAACGCGUAUCCAACCUGCCCAUAAGUAGGGUAUAACCCGCAGAAAUGCGGACUAAUCCCAUAUGCUUAUGGCUGGGGAUGAGUCCGAUUAGCUUGUUGGUGAGGUCACGGCUCACCAAGGCUUCGAUCGGUAGGGGUUCUGAGAGUAAGGCCCCCCAGAGAGGAACUGAGGCACGGGCCUAAAUCCUACGGGAGGAAGCGGGGAGGAAUAUUGGUGAAGGGGAGAGAGCCGGAACCAGCCAAGUAGCGUGCAGAAUGACGGCCUAUGGGUUGUAAACUGCUUGUAGGCGAGGAUAGGUACCGCAUGAAUAAGGACCGGCUAAUUCCGUGCCAGCAGCCGCGGUAAUUC
rnacentral:rRNA from 1 species